UUUAAUUUUUGAGCGCUUGAUCCCUCAGCAAAUAUAGCGAGGGAUGACGAGGAGAGGGGGAGAGAUGCCAACUAGUAUCUUCCAAUCGGACUCGAUUUCAUUUCAAUAGGAGGACUUGUCCUGAGCGAACGAAGUGAGUCGAAGGAUCAGCGGAAACCCUCAAGCUUGGUUAUAGCUGUUUAUUUCAAAACUCGAAAACAAUUUCGAGCAAAAAGAAUGAACUAAUAACUACU
rnacentral:ncRNA from 2 species